AGAGGAGAGAGGGGUUGAUUAAGAUCUCAUUGCCUAUACAGACCCGACGCCUUUCUCCACCCGAAACCCCACGGACGAAGGAGCCACCAAUCAUUGUAUCCUGGCACCUGCAGGAGGAUCUAUAUUGGUAAUUGAACCACCAACUGUAGAUCGUAUGAGCCGCCCUCCGAGCAGAUUGAGUAAUGUUGUCUUGCCACUUCCAGAAGGUCCCAUUAAGGCCAGAACUUCGCCUGGGUGUACCAAACCGACAACAGGAUGAACUGAGUUCAGUAAAGUUGCAGACAAUCAUUAUUCACCAUAUUUUGGGCAAAUAUUCAACUCAGGUUAGAGAUGGCUAUGUUUCCCAGAAGUAUACUUCUUUCCCUCUACAAAGUGAUAUGCGUUGAUUAGCUUCUUUGAGCCUUAAACAACCUGAUUUUUGACGUGCAUGAACUCAAUGUUUUCUAAAAAUCAGGCUUGUCAAGAUUCCAGGAGGACAAUUAUCCUUUCAAGUUUUUUAUUUUAUCUUUCUGGUUCUUAUUUUGUUCUCUCAGUUGGGUGGAAAGAUGGGAUGAGUCUUGUACAUGAAUGGUGAUAUAAAAUGAAACUUUGUACAAGACUGAACCUGACC